UGGAACUGAUCAAAUUCGGAUCCUAUAUAUACUUUUCGAAUCGAAAUCUGGAUAUGAGUGGAUCCAUACCCAAUCCGAAAAAUUAUCAGUCCUAAGCAUGGCCACUUGCCCAGACUUAGAACGGCCUAGACACUAGGCUUAAAUUUUCCAGCCCUAAGUUCAAAUUUAGAUGCCUAUGCCGUGCCAACAUUGGCCCUGGCUCAACCCUUGUCCCUAAAUGGCAGCGCAGGGCUAGGCCGAAAACAAAUGAAAAAAGAACAGAAAAAAAGACAAGAAAAAAAAAAAAGGGCCGCACCAGGUUGGCAUUGGCCCUAACCCAGCCCUUAGGUCGCUGUACCUUUUUAGAGCCGGUGGGGUCAGUCGGCCCGGCCCAUUACCAGCCCUAGAGCUAAAUGACGACACAUUGCCACCCUCCUAAACCCGUGUGGAGCCUCUCUUUAACCGUUUUCCCAGUCAAAUCAUGAAAUCCCUCUCUUUAGUCUUCGGUGGGUCAAAAUUAUGAAGUUAGAUUCUCAUACGUUGAGUUUGAAAGGUAUCUCCCUCACUUGUGAUAUGCAUAAUGAACACGUCAAAUCGUCAGUUUCUAGAAAUAUGCUCUCCUUUGUCAUUAAAUCAAUUUCAGCCGUCUGAUUUCAAAUCUCACAACUAGUUGGUAUAAUGAUCUUUUGUAUCAAAGAUACAUAGUCUUAAUAUAUAUACUCCCAUCGUAAAAGGUUAGCCGUUAGGUCAAUAACCGAUGCUUUAGAGAUCAAGACUACCAAAGUAAAAAAAACGGUCAUUUAUAUAGGGAAAAAGUUCAUAUAAAUUAGGGCGCACUUUAAAAAUUUGACAAAAAGAGCUUAUUUUGAUGCCCAAAUAUCUUCAAAUUGAUCAUCUCGACCUCAAGAUGCAUAAAUAAGAAAAAGAAAUAGAUUUUUAGGUUUGGAAAUAGUGUAUCUUGUAAUGCAUUUUUUUGACCGUCAAUUUUCAAGAUUUUCAUAGAUAUGCUCGAUCUACACUAUUUUUGAAGCUUUAAAUUUUAUAAUUAGAGAUGAAAGUAUAUUUUAAAGCUAUAACAAAGAUUUCAAAUAACGAAACUAUAUUUCUCGAUUCUAUUUGAAGGUGUGCUUUUCUUUAAUUGUUUAAAGCCUCGACUCUAUACAAACUGCCCUUUACAUAUAACCACAUAGCACUAUUGUUUGUUAUCUAAUGGGUCUCAUACAUACAAAUCGAACUUGAGGGGUAUUAUUGCAAUCAUGAAUACGUUAACCAUUCAAGUCCGAUCCCGAAUAGUGAGCAGCUCUUAUUAGAUUCGGAGAUGCGGCUCCUAAAAAAUUUUCCUCAAUAAAUAAAAAAAAAAAAAGAAAAAAAAAUAGGAUUAGCUAGGAGCUAAAAAAACGCCUCAAGUCCAUUGUCACCCGGAAAUGAGAUUUGCCUCCUCUUUCUGGAAUUAAAAUCAACCAUACAAAAAAUUCACUAUAAGAGGUUGUUUCGAUGUCCUAAAAUCUUCAAAUCAAUCAUCUCGACCUCAAGUUGCACGAACAUGAGAAACAAAUAGAUUUCAAGUCUUGAAAGUAGCGCAUAUUGUAAUGCAUCUUUUAGGCUGUUAGUU
rnacentral:lncRNA from 1 species